CCCUUAGAUGUCCGGGGCUGCACGCGCGCUACACUGAAGGAAUCAGCGUGCUAAAACCAUUGUCGAAAGGCAUUGGUAAACCCAUUAAAAUCCUACGUGAUUGGGAUCGGGAAUUGCAAUUAUUUCCCUUGAACGAGGAAUUCCCAGUAAGUGUGGGUCAUAAGCUCGCGGUGAUUACGUCCCUGCCCUUUGUACACACCGCCCGUCGCUGCCCGGGACUGAGCCGUUUCGAGAAAAGCGGGGACUGCUGCUGUCGGGGCUUUCGGGCCUUGGCUUCGGUGGAAACCGCUUUAAUCGCAGUGGCUUGAACCGGGCAAAAGUCGUAACA
rnacentral:rRNA from 1 species